CGGCAGCACGGGAGCAAUCCUGGUGGCGAGUGGCGAACGGGUGAGUAAUAUAUCGGAACGUGCCCAGUCGUGGGGGAUAACGCAGCGAAAGCUGUGCUAAUACCGCAUACGAUCUCUGGAUGAAAGCGGGGGACUCGCAAGAGCCUCGCGCGAUUGGAGCGGCCGAUAUCAGAUUAGCUAGUUGGUGGGGUAAAGGCCCACCAAGGCGACGAUCUGUAGCUGGUCUGAGAGGACGACCAGCCACACUGGAACUGAGACACGGUCCAGACUCCUACGGGAGGCAGCAGUGGGGAAUUUUGGACAAUGGGCGCAAGCCUGAUCCAGCAAUGCCGCGUGCAGGAUGAAGGCCUUCGGGUUGUAAACUGCUUUUGUACGGAACGAAAAGGUCUGCCUUAAUACGGUGGGCCCAUGACGGUACCGUAAGAAUAAGCACCGGCUAACUACGUGCCAGCAGCCGCGGUAAUACGUAGGGUGCGAGCGUUAAUCGGAAUUACUGGGCGUAAAGCGUGCGCAGGCGGUUAUAUAAGACAGAUGUGAAAUCCCCGGGCUCAACCUGGGACCUGCAUUUGUGACUGUAUAGCUAGAGUACGGUAGAGGGGGAUGGAAUUCCGCGUGUAGCAGUGAAAUGCGUAGAUAUGCGGAGGAACACCGAUGGCGAAGGCAAUCCCCUGGACCUGUACUGACGCUCAUGCACGAAAGCGUGGGGAGCAAACAGGAUAAA
rnacentral:rRNA from 1 species